rnacentral:piRNA from 2 species
UGGAUCUGAUGGAGAGGAGGUUCAGAC